GAUGAACGCUGGCGGCGUGCAUAAUACAUGCAAGUAGAACGCUGAAGCUUGGUGCUUGCACCGAGCGGAUGAGUUGCGAACGGGUGAGUAACGCGUAGGUAACCUGCCUCUUAGCGGGGGAUAACUAUUGGAAACGAUAGCUAAUACCGCAUAAAAGACGAUAUCGCAUGAUAUUGAUUUGAAAGGUGCAAUUGCAUCACUAAGAGAUGGACCUGCGUUGUAUUAGCUAGUUGGUGAGGUAACGGCUCACCAAGGCAACGAUACAUAGCCGACCUGAGAGGGUGAUCGGCCACACUGGGACUGAGACACGGCCCAGACUCCUACGGGAGGCAGCAGUAGGGAAUCUUCGGCAAUGGGGGCAACCCUGACCGAGCAACGCCGCGUGAGUGAAGAAGGUUUUCGGAUCGUAAAGCUCUGUUGUAAGAGAAGAACGAGUGUGAGAGUGGAAAGUUCACACUGUGACGGUAACUUACCAGAAAGGGACGGCUAACUACGUGCCAGCAGCCGCGGUAAUACGUAGGUCCCGAGCGUUAUCCGGAUUUAUUGGGCGUAAAGCGAGCGCAGGCGGUUAGAUAAGUCUGAAGUUAAAGGCUGUGGCUUAACCAUAGUACGCUUUGGAAACUGUUUAACUUGAGUGCAGAAGGGGAGAGUGGAAUUCCAUGUGUAGCGGUGAAAUGCGUAGAUAUAUGGAGGAACACCGGUGGCGAAAGCGGCUCUCUGGUCUGUAACUGACGCUGAGGCUCGAAAGCGUGGGGAGCAAACAGG
rnacentral:rRNA from 1 species